rnacentral:rRNA from 1 species
AAUGAACGCUGGCGGUAGGCCUAAUACAUGCAAGUCGAACGGCAGCACAGUAAGAGCUUGCCUCUACGGGUGGCGAGUGGCGGACGGGUGAGGAAUACAUCGGAAUCUACUAUUUCGUGGGGGAUAACGUAGGGAAACUUACGCUAAUACCGCAUACGAUCUACGGGUGAAAUCAGGGGUUCUUCGGACCUUGCGCGACUCAAUGAGCCGAUGUCGCAUUAGCUAGUUGGCGGGGUAAAGGCCCACCAAGGCAACGAUGCGUAGCUGGUCUGAGAGGAUGAUCAGCCACACUGGAACUGAGACACGGUCCAGACUCCUACGGGAGGCAGCAGUGGGGAAUAUUCGACAAUGGGCGCAAGCCUGAUCCAGCCAUGCCGCGUGAGUGAUGAAGGCCUUCGGGUCGUAAAGCCCUUUUAUUAGGGAAGAAAAGAAGCAUAUUUAACCCCCGCUAUUCUGACGGUACCUAAUGAGAAAGCCACGGCUAACUUCGUG